rnacentral:rRNA from 1 species
AACGAACGCUGGCGGCAGGCUUAACACAUGCAAGUCGAGCGCCCUGCAAGGGGAGCGGCAGACGGGUGAGUAACGCGUGGGAACGUACCCUUUUCUACGGAAUAACGCAGGGAAACUUGUGCUAAUACCGUAUACGCCCUUUUGGGGAAAGAUUUAUCGGGGAAGGAUCGGCCCGCGUUGGAUUAGCUAGUUGGUGGGGUAAAGGCCUACCAAGGCGACGAUCCAUAGCUGGUCUGAGAGGAUGAUCAGCCACAUUGGGACUGAGACACGGCCCAAACUCCUACGGGAGGCAGCAGUGGGGAAUCUUGCGCAAUGGGGGCAACCCUGACGCAGCCAUGCCGCGUGAAUGAUGAAGGCCUUAGGGUUGUAAAGUUCUUUUGUCCGGAAAGAAAAGCAUCUGGUUAAUACCCGGGUGUUCUGACGGUACCGGAAGAAUAAGCACCGGCUAACUUCGUGCCAGCAGCCGCGGUAAAG